AGAGUUUGAUCCUGGCUCAGGAUGAACGCUGGCGGCGUGCCUAACACAUGCAAGUCGAACGAAGCACCUUUUAAGAUUCUUCGGAUGAUUGAUUGGUGACUGAGUGGCGGACGGGUGAGUAACGCGUGGGUAACCUGCCCUGUACAGGGGGAUAACAGUUGGAAACGGCUGCUAAUACCGCAUAAGCGCACGAGAGGACAUCCUCUUGUGUGAAAAACUCCGGUGGUACAGGAUGGGCCCGCGUCUGAUUAGCUGGUUGGCAGGGUAACGGCCUACCAAGGCGACGAUCAGUAGCCGGUCUGAGAGGAUGAACGGCCACAUUGGAACUGAGACACGGUCCAAACUCCUACGGGAGGCAGCAGUGGGGAAUAUUGCACAAUGGGGGAAACCCUGAUGCAGCAACGCCGCGUGAGUGAAGAAGUAUUUCGGUAUGUAAAGCUCUAUCAGCAGGGAAGAAAAUGACGGUACCUGACUAAGAAGCACCGGCUAAAUACGUGCCAGCAGCCGCGGUAAUACGUAUGGAGCAAGCGUUAUCCGGAUUUACUGGGUGUAAAGGGUGCGUAGGUGGCAGUGCAAGUCAGAUGUGAAAGGCCGGGGCUCAACCCCGGAGCUGCAUUUGAAACUGCAUAGCUAGAGUACAGGAGAGGCAGGCGGAAUUCCUAGUGUAGCGGUGAAAUGCGUAGAUAUUAGGAGGAACACCAGUGGCGAAGGCGGCCUGCUGGACUGUUACUGACACUGAGGCACGAAAGCGUGGGGAGCAAACAGGAUUAGAUACCCUGGUAGUCCACGCCGUAAACGAUGAGUGCUAGGUGUCGGGGAGGAAUCCUCGGUGCCGCAGCUAACGCAAUAAGCACUCCACCUGGGGAGUACGACCGCAAGGUUGAAACUCAAAGGAAUUGACGGGGACCCGCACAAGCGGUGGAGCAUGUGGUUUAAUUCGAAGCAACGCGAAGAACCUUACCAAGUCUUGACAU
rnacentral:rRNA from 1 species